UACAGAGGUCCCAAGCGUUACUGAGAAUCACUGGGUUUAAAGGGUGCGUAGGCGGCGCGGUAAGUCGGGUGUGAAAUCUCGGAGCUUAACUCCGAAACUGCAUUCGAUACUGCCGUGCUUGAGGACUGGAGAGGAGACUGGAAUUUACGGUGUAGCGGUGAAAUGCGUAGAUAUGUGGAGGAACACCGAUGGCGAAGGCAGCCCCCUGGGUCAAGACUGACGCUCAUGCACGAAAGCGUGGGGAGCAAACAGG
rnacentral:rRNA from 1 species